rnacentral:rRNA from 1 species
AGUGAACGCUGGCGGUAGGCCUAACACAUGCAAGUCGAACGGCAGCACAGUAAGAGCUUGCUCUUACGGGUGGCGAGUGGCGGACGGGUGAGGAAUACAUCGGAAUCUACUUUUUCGUGGGGGAUAACGUAGGGAAACUUACGCUAAUCCCGCAUACGACCUACGGGUGAAAGCAGGGGAUCUUCGGACCUUGCGCGAUUGAAUGCGCCGAUGUCGGAUUAGCUAGUUGGCGGGGUAAAGGCCCACCAAGGCGACGAUCCGUAGCUGGUCUGAGAGGAUGAUCAGCCACACUGGAACUGAGACACGGUCCAGACUCCUACGGGAGGCAGCAGUGGGGAAUAUUGGACAAUGGGCGCAAGCCUGAUCCAGCCAUACCGCGUGAGUGAAGAAGGCCUUCGGGUUGUAAAGCCCUUUUGUUGGGAAAGAAAAGCAGCAGGUUAAUACCCCGCUGUUCUGACGGUACCCAAAGAAUAAGCACCGGCUAACUUCGUG